CAGAGUCGAGGACGCGGCCGCGUCCGCCCAAGCCACGGCGAAGGCGGACGAGGAAAGUCCGAGCUCCACAGGGCAGCGCGAUGGGUAACGCCCACCGGCCGCGAGGCCAGGGAAAGUGCAACAGAAAACACACCGCCAACUGGGGCGUCGCAAGGCGCUCAAAGGGCAAGGGUGAAAUGGUGGGGUAAGAGCCCACCGGCGGCGUGGCGACACGCCGGCCUGGCAAACCCCGCGCGGAGCAAUGCCAAACAGGGAGCAGAGGCGGCCCGCCUCGCUACGACUCCCGGGUGGGCAGCACGAGGCCGACGGCAACGCCGGCCCUAGAUGGAUGGCCGCGGCCCGCCCAAGCCCCGGCGAAGGCGGGCAACAGAACUCGGCUUACGAUCGACUCUGCCUC
rnacentral:RNase_P_RNA from 1 species